rnacentral:tRNA from 7 species
GGAGAGGUGGCAGAGUGGUCGAAUGUACCUGACUCGAAAUCAGGCGUACGUUUAUAGCGUACCGAGGGUUCGAAUCCCUCCCUCUCCGCCA